AGCGAACGCUGGCGGCAGGCUUAACACAUGCAAGUCGAGCGGGCAUCCUUGUGGUGUCAGCGGCAGACGGGUGAGUAACGCGUGGGAACGUGCCCUUCGGUUCGGAAUAACUCAGGGAAACUUGAGCUAAUACCGGAUACGUGCGAGAGCAGAAAGGUUUAUCUGCCGAAGGAUCGGCCCGCGUCUGAUUAGCUAGUUGGUGAGGUUAUGGCUCACCAAGGCGACGAUCAGUAGCUGGUCUGAGAGGAGGAUCAGCCACACUGGGACUGAGACACGGCCCAGACUCCUACGGGAGGCAGCAGUGGGGAAUAUUGGACAAGGGGGGCAACCCUGAUCCAGCCAUGCCGGGUGAGUGAUGACGGCCUUAGGGUUGUAAAGCUCUUUUCUCCGGGACGAUAAUGACGGUACCGGAGGAAUAAGCCCCGGCUAACUUCGUG
rnacentral:rRNA from 1 species